UGAUAGUACGGUGGCGGACGGGUGAGUAACGCGUAAAGAACUUGCCCUCUAGACUGGGACAACUGUUGGAAACGACAGCUAAUACCGGAUAUUAUGAGAACCUCGCAUGGGGAACUUAUGAAAGGCUAUAUGCGCUAGAGGAGAGCUUUGCGUGCCAUUAGGUAGUUGGUAGGGUAAUGGCCUACCAAGCCGACGAUGGCUAGCCGGCCUGAGAGGGUGAUCGGCCACAAGGGGACUGAGACACGGCCCUUACUCCUACGGGAGGCAGCAGUGGGGAAUAUUGGACAAUGGACCAAAAGUCUGAUCCAGCAAUUCUGUGUGCACGAUGAAGGUUUUCGGAUCGUAAAGUGCUUUCAGUAGGGAAGAAAAAAAUGACGGUACCUACAGAAGAAGCGACGGCUAAAUACGUGCCAGCAGCCGCGG
rnacentral:rRNA from 1 species